rnacentral:rRNA from 1 species
ACCGCCCAAGAGUUCAUAUCGACGGCGGUGUUUGGCACCUCGAUGUCGGCUCAUCACAUCCUGGGGCUGAAGCAGGUCCCAAGGGUAUGGCUGUUCGCCAUUUAAAGUGGUACGCGAGCUGGGUUCAGAACGUCGUGAGACAGUUCGGUCCCUAUCUGCCGUGGGCGUUUGAGAUUUGAGGGAAGCUGCUCCUAGUACGAGAGGACCGGAGUGGACGAACCUCUGGUGUUCCGGUUGUCACGCCAGUGGCAUCGCCGGGUAGCUAUGUUCGGACAGGAUAACCGCUGAAAGCAUCUAAGCGGGAAGCCCCUCCCAAGAUGAGAUCUCACUGGGACACUAAGUCCCCUGAAGGGCUGUUGAAGACUACAACGUUGAUAGGCACGGUGUGGAAGCGCAGUAAUGUGUGAAGCUAACGUGUACUAAUUGCCCGUGAGGCUUGACCAU